GGCACUUCUCAGGUGAUGCACCCCAGAAUCGGCUCCCUCCUCUCUAGUUCCGGGUGUGUCACCUGAGAACCACA
rfam:Myotis davidii contig168043, whole genome shotgun sequence.